rnacentral:rRNA from 1 species
AUGGAAUCUUGGUAUCAACUAGAGGAGAUAGUGAAGAAUAUCUCUCUGGUGGAAGAAACAGACUCCCUAAUUUGGCAGCUUGAUAACAAGGGUGUUUACUCUAGUAGUUCUUUAUAUCAUGUGAUCAAAUUUAGGGGGGUAUAACCUGUCUACAUUCCUGCUGUUUGGAAACUGCUAGUACCACCCAAGAUCCAUAUUUUCCUAUGGUUGGUCUCCUACAACAUGAUUAUGACUAGAGACAAUCUCAGGAAAAGACACAUCAUUAAACCUCUAAGCUGUGUGUUUUGUUCCUCGGAUGAGUCCAUUCAACACUAAUUUUUUGAGUGUGUGGUAGCUAAAAUUAUGUGGGCUCUAGUCAGAGACCACUUCAACAAACAUAUAGAGUUAGAUUACCUUUCUGUUGCUAGAUUUUGGGUUCUAAUAAAAAGAAUGCGGCUCCCAAUGUUGUUAGUUCGGCCACACUGUGGUGCCUGUGGAAAUUUAGAAAUUCCAUGA